GACUUCAGAAACAACAACUCAAACCGCGUCAACUACUCCGAAUUCAGAAACCACAACUCAACCCGAGUCAACUACUCCGAAUUCAGAAACCACAACUCAACCCGAGUCAACUACUCCGACUUCAGAAGCAACUAUUGCAGGUGAGAUUACAAGUGUAUCGAACUAAUCAUAGGAAAUUAUUAUAAUUUGGAUACUUUUUUCCGUGAUCGUUUACUAUACUUAACCGUGACAAUGUGUACCGAUUAUUCGCGAAAAAAUUUUCGAGUCCUUAACGGUGUGAAUGAUUGUGUUAGUGUACAGGAUGAUUCUAACUAUAUAUAACUAUUUACAAGAGUGUCGUGAAAGUAUUCAUAUUCCAUCAAAUAUUAACUCCAGAUUGUUGGUUUUUUUUAGAUAAAGGUUACGAAAUUUUCUCGUCGAUAAAAAUGCAAUUUUGUGUUGAUUAAGCAAUUAAUCAAUAAUUAAACAGAAUGUUUGAUUUAUGCGACACCCUGCAUAGCGUCCAAGCAAUUUUUAUUACGACAUUUUUACAUAAAUUAAUCUUCUAUGCGUACCUUUUACAGGUCUAAAAAUCCGUAGAAGCGUACUCAACUAUUUCGCGCAAAUAGAUACAUUGCAGGACGGAACGAAAGUCUACUGCUUCAAAAAAAGCGAAGGCAACACCACAACCAGAGGAUGCACGUUUAAUCAACACUUAUGCGGAGAAAACAAUAAAGAUUGCAAAAUUUGUGACUCGGAUCAAUGCAAUUCGGCAACGUCGACGGCUGUCUAUGUGUCCAUGGUGGUGUCUUUGUUAGUUGUUUUAUUCGUCGCGAAAUAGAAAUGAUGAAUUUAUUUAUUAUCAGGGAGGUUCUAAUGUGAACCAGAUAACAUUCUGCCAAAAAACACCGUCAAUUUCAUUUCUUCGCGGCAAACGAGUACUAUUAUACGAAAUUUUCUCUGCCAUGUUACAGCAAUGUAAUACGGAAUGUUAAACGUAACGCGAUAAUUGGACUCAAGCAGUGCUAUAUUAAUGUUAUGCAAUUAAAUUAUUGGGUAGUGUCAAACGAGUAGCCCGUUACGUAGAUUUAAAAAAUUAGAAAAAUGAUGUAAUCAACUUAGGCACGAUAAGGUAAAACCCAUGUGAUAUAUAAGGUGAUAUAUUUAUAUGUUGUGUCCCUUUUUGGCGAGAUUCCUUCAUCAGAACAAUAAAAAAUGUAAUUUAACAUUAACUAAAUAAUUUCAUUUAACGAAGUUCGUUUGAUUGAACGAUUUGCUAGAAUAAUUACCGAUAAAAUGGGCUUUUGGAAUAGGAAAUAGCAGAUGCACGUUUAAACAUGCAAGACAUACAAUUUUUAACGUUAUUUUAAGUUAACUAGUUUACCAAAUUUUUCGAUAUAAAAUAA